CUGGACAUGCCAAAAUUGACCAGCUCAUCUUCGAGUUCCUCCAGCAAUGCUACUUCCCCGUUGGAGGAGCUCUCUAUAUCAGCCACUCGCCUGCUCGUCUUCAUGAUGCUCGCCUCGGCCUGUAAAUCCAUAAAAUUUAUUUAAGCCAGAUAAGAAUUUUAUCAGUAACUCUCGCUCUCUGGAACAAAUGUGGACCAACUAAACUGAAUAUUCUACUCCCUUUGUUCCCAAAUAUUUUUCUUUCUAGAGAUUUCAACAAGUGACUACAUACGAAGCAAAAUGAGUGAAUCUACACUCUAAAAUAUGUCUCCUUACAUCUGUAUGUCGUAGUCUGUUUGAAAUGCUUAGAAAGACAAAUAUUUAGGAAUAGAGGGAGUACAUCAGACCAGAAUCUUGACAAAUUAAUAACUGACAAAUGCAGACCAAACUGAACAGAAUAUUCUACACGAGAACAAAUCUUUGGAAUAAAUGUAGACCAAAAUAAACCGAAGAAACAUAUAACUUUGUUUUUACCUUCAUAACAGGCAGCAUGACCAGAAUCACAUCCCGUGAGAAGCCAUAAACCUAGAAACUGCAUCAGUUAGAAAGACUGCAUAGACAUGGCACAUGUGCAAAUAUUUGUCCAAUUACAAAAUAAGAAAGGGAUAUUACCAGCGCAUUUUGUUAUACUGCUUGGUUAUGUUAAAAUGGUACACAAAAUCGUAUUGGUAGAUGAAGAAACACAAUGCAAGAUCUUUAAGUCCCCUCUUUUUAUCCUUCUCUGAAUCCAUGUCCCUUCUUUUUCAUCCCUCUCUCUGAAUCUAGAUCCUAGCAAUGAUCACGCUUCCAGUCCCCUCUUUUUCAUGCCUCUCUCUCAAACACACAUGACACAUUGCAGCAAACAUAACACAUCAACUACUGUAAUUGAAAACUGAAGCUGUGACUCUCUAUUAUCCAAUUUCAGUAACCAUAAACUCGGUGCCUAGAAGCAAAGAUCUCAUAAAUGCACAUACACAUGAUCACAAAUUGUAUCAUCUAAAUGCAAGAACAAAGUGGAGGAAAGAGAGAGGAUGUAGAGGCAAACCUGAACUUCCUCGAGCUCCUUGCUCCUGCUGCUCUAGUCGGAGACCCUCCCUCAACCGCCGUCCACAUCCGCAACUGCCGCUGAAAUGUAAUGAAGGCCUCCCAUGAAAGGAAAUUAAUAUCUAUAUAUGAGAAAU
rnacentral:lncRNA from 1 species